GCGCCAUGGCGGGGCCAGGCAGCCGCCGUGGACGCGCACCGGGCCGCGAAGCAGCGCCUUUCUGCGGCUGGGGGCGGGCGCGGGGGCGUCUGAGGCGGCGCCUGAGGCGGCACCUGAGGGUUAACGCAGCGCUGAACUCCCGGCAACUGACUGAGGAGGCAGCGCUGGAAAAACAUAGACUGUGACGCUGCAGCGUGAGGGCAUCAUGUAAGUCCCGUGAAAAGGAGGAAGGGAGUGACUAAAGGAAGAAAAUUAACUAUGCGAGGGAUCAAUAUCAAGGUAGUAUGGCUACUGGAAUACCCUGCAAAAGCUGAGGAGAAGUACUUGCUGGAAACAGCAAAGGACCUGGUUUCAAAGGCA